rnacentral:rRNA from 1 species
ACGUAGGGUGCAAGCAUUAAUCGGAUUUAUUGGGCGUAAAGGGCGCGUAGGCGGGGGUGCCAGUCAAUUGUGAAAUCCCGGAGCUCAACUCCGGAACUGCAGUUGAAACUACAUCCCUAGAGGGUAGGCGGAGAAAACGGAAUUCCACAAGUAGCGGUGAAAUGCGUAGAUAUGUGGAAGAACACCAGUGGCGAAGGCGGUUUUCUAGCUUAUACCUGACGCUGAGGCGCGAAAGCAAGGGGAGCAAACA